CGUAAGGCGCCGAAUGAGUCAUUAAAAAAUUAACAUCAUCCGAUCCCUAGUCGGCAUAGUUUAUGGUUAAGACUACGACGGUAUCUGAUCGUCUUCGAUCCCCUAACUUUCGUUCUUGAUUAAUGAAAACAUCCUUGGCAAAUGCUUUCGCAGUAGUUAGUCUUCAAUAAAUCCAAGAAUUUCACCUCUGACAAUUGAAUACUAAUGCCCCCAAUAUCCCUAUUAAUCAUUACGUCAAUCCUAGAAACCAACAAAUAGGAUCGAACGUCCUAUUUCAUUAUUCCAUGCUAAUGUAUUCAA
rnacentral:rRNA from 1 species